rfam:Erinaceus europaeus cont1.604109, whole genome shotgun sequence.
UUUUGGGGCGGUGUUUACAGACUCUUCUUCUCUGCCUCCGCCCUAUUCUUGGCCCAGACUUGGAGCCUCUUCUGCUUUCCAGCCAGAUCCGGAAAAAUACGAAAACACAGCUCAGGGAGCCCCCACCAGCUGGCGCCUAUGCCAGCUCACCUCUGGCUGUUGGUGCACAAUGCCAAGGCCAAAUCCACAUUCUUCCUUCUCUCUCCCCACUUCUCGGAGACCAGAGACCAGAGCCCUGAAGAAGAAGGGCCCAAGCUCUACAGACUGCAAAACCAACUGGGUCCCUUCUCACCAAAAAUGGUAAGACAAGAUUUCAUCUUGUCCGUUGCGGGAGUCACAAGCAG